UAAAAAUUUAUUUAAUUUUUUUUUUACAUGUAAAUUUUUGUCUGAUUAUUAAUUUAAUUUUAAAAAUUAAGUUAUUAUUUUUUAUUCGCAGUAUUUAAUUUUAAUAAUUUAAGAAAUUAAGAAUUAGAAAUAAGUUUUAAUAUUAACAGAUUUUGUGCCAGCAGUUGCGGUUAUACAAAAAAUGUGAAUAAAUUAUAUUGGUGAAUAAUUAUAUGAAUUAUUGAUAAAUUAAAUUUAUAUUUGUUAGGUGAAAUUUUAAAUAUAAUUAUAAUUUAUAAUUAAGUUUUUAUUAUUAUGAAAUUUAUAUUUAAACUAGGAUUAGAUACCCUAUUAUUUUAAAUGUAAAAAUUUAUUACUAAAAUAGUAUUAGUUAUGUUCUUGAAAAUUAAAGAUUUUGGCGGUAUUUUAGUCUAUUUAGAGGAACCUGUUCUAUAAUUGAUAAUCCACGAUUAACUUUACUUAUUUAAUAAAUUUGUAUACCGUCGUUAUUAGAAAAUUUUAAUAGAAUAUAAAUUUUUAAUAUUUUAAAUUAAAAAAUAUAUCAGAUCAAGGUGCAGUUAAUAUUUAAGAAGAAAUGGGUUACAAUAAAUUUAUUUAUACGGAUUAAGGUAAUAAAUGCUUUGUGAAGGUGGAUUUAAUAGUAAUAAAAUUUAUUUUAAUUUUAUGAUUUUAGCUCUAAAAUAUGUACAUAUCGCCCGUCGCUCUUAUUAUAAGAUAAGAUAAGUCGUAACAUAGUAGAUGUACUGGAAAGUGUAUCUAGAAUGAC
rnacentral:ncRNA from 1 species